rnacentral:rRNA from 1 species
UAGGGAAUCUUCCACAAUGGGCGAAAGCCUGAUGGAGCAACGCCGCGUGUGUGAUGAAGGGUUUCGGCUCGUAAAACACUGUUGUAAGAGAAGAAUGACAUUGAGAGUAACUGUUCAGUGUGUGACGGUAUCUUACCAGAAAGGAACGGCUAAAUACGUGCCAG